CACCUGGUGUAUGAGAGUAUUGGUAUGAGACUCGCUAGUCUGACAUAAAAGUCUAACUGUUUGUCUUAAUAAGGUGUUACUACGUAUUCAAUAAGAACUUUGUACCAAAUGUCACGAUCGUUGUGUUUUGUACCACAUGUUUUAGGAGACAACCUGCUCAUCACAACUGUGAAAAUUUUUAAUCCUUCAAAUGUCAACCCAUAAAAUUUUGAAAGUCUGGGAUUCUAUAUUAAUCCAAUAAAAAAUCUUUCAGUACAUUGUGUCAUACCUCUAAACCUAGGCUGGAUGAUUUGUGUCUUCCUUCAUUUCUGGUUUUCGCAUAUCCAGAUGCUGGAGGUAAUGAACAGCUCCAGAACGGCUGAAUGCACAUAACAAAAAAAAAAAGAUUUUAGUAUUUUUAAACUGAUGGCGUGAUUGUUCCAAAACUUUGGUUAUUCUUUCAUGUGAAAUUUAGCCCCAAUGAUCUCUGUCUACUACCCUUUUCAAAUAUCAUGAGCACAAGUGUGCAUUUUAGUUUUCUGACAGCCAAAGCCAUUGAUGUAUUCGCUACGUGUCAAUUGGUUACAGGAGAAUACACCCGUCACAGGAAAAAGAACUUCGUCCAAUUGAGGUGAACAACAUUGAAUGGGAUCAAUAUUGUUGUUCACACUCAUAUUCAGACGAAAAUCGAAAAAUUGAUGUUUAGCAGGGUUGGCGAAGAAAAGGAAAACACAUUCGUUUAAGAUGAGGAAUACUUUGACGAACCAUCUGGUUUAGCUCUCACCAGAAUUAAUGGAUUGGGGAUUUUGUUUUUACACAAACGCUGGAUGGGAUAUACCUAGUCAUACUCCUAUGCAAAAGGCGAGAGAAAAAAAAAACAACAAACGAAGAAAAGGAAACCAAAAAAAAAAAAAAAAAAUUUUAGGAAUUCCCCAUCUUUCGUCACACGAUUUGGGCUCUAAAUACGAGGCACAUCCAGUAAUUAAAUUCAUUCAUAUUUAUGGUUUUCUGUAAGUUUUUGCUUUAUGUCGACGGUUCCAAAAGGAAAUACAAUACGAUAACAUUUUUUUUGUCUCAUCUCCCUAAAUGUUUUUAGCGCCAAAUACAAGGACGAUCAUCU